GGGUUUUUCUGGGAAGCCUGGUUCAGAUGGACCUCAGGGGCCUAUAGGCAUGUAUGGAUACCCAGGAGCUUUUGGUCUACGUGGACUACCAGGUCACAUAGGCCAAAGGGGGGACCAAGGUGUAAGAGGCCAUGUUGGACAGCCUGGCAAGAGUGGACCUCCAGUAUGUCAA